rnacentral:rRNA from 1 species
UGGCCGGUACAACGGGGUGCGACACGGUGACGUGGGGCGGAUCCCUGAAAACCGGUCUCAGUUCGGAUCGCAGUCUGCAACUCGACUGCGUGAAGGUGGAGUCGCUAGUAAUCGCGGAUCAGCAACGCCGCGGUGAAUGCGUUCCCGGGCCUUGUACACACCGCCCGUCAAGUCAUGAAAGUGGGCAGCACCCGAAGACGGUGGCCUAACCCUUGUGGGGGGAGCCGUCUAAGGUGAGGCUCGUGAUUGGGACUAAGUCGUAACAAGGUACC